rnacentral:tRNA from 1 species
GGGCGGACGUAGCCAAGUGGAUUAAGGCAGUGGAUUG